rnacentral:rRNA from 1 species
CGCUUUUUCUUUCACCUGAGCUUGCUCCAUCGAAAGAAAAAGAGUGGCGAACGGGUGAGUAACACGUGGGUAACCUGCCCAUCAGAAGGGGAUAACACUUGGAAACAGGUGCUAAUACCGUAUAACACUAUUUUCCGCAUGGAAGAAAGUUGAAAGGCGCUUUUGCGUCACUGAUGGAUGGACCCGCGGUGCAUUAGCUAGUUGGUGAGGUAACGGCUCACCAAGGCAACGAUGCAUAGCCGACCUGAGAGGGUGAUCGGCCACACUGGGACUGAGACACGGCCCAGACUCCUACGGGAGGCAGCAGUAGGGAAUCUUCGGCAAUGGACGAAAGUCUGACCGAGCAACGCCGCGUGAGUGAAGAAGGUUUUCGGAUCGUAAAACUCUGUUGUUAGAGAAGAACAAGGAUGAGAGUAAAAUGUUCAUCCCUUGACGGUAUCUAACCAGAAAGCCACGGCUAACUACGUGCCAGCAGCCGCGGUAAUACGUAGGUGGCAAGCGUUGUCCGGAUUUAUUGGGCGUAAAGCGAGCGCAGGCGGUUUCUUAAGUCUGAUGUGAAAGCCCCCGCCUCAACCGGGGAGGGUCAUUGGAAACUGGGAGACUUGAGUGCAGAAGAGGAGAGUGGAAUUCCAUGUGUAGCGGUGAAAUGCGUAGAUAUAUGGAGGAACACCAGUGGCGAACGCGGCUCUCUGGUCUGUAACUGACGCUGAGGCUCGAAAGCGUGGGGAGCGAACAGGAUUAGAUACCCUGGUAGUCCACGCCGUAAACGAUGAGUGCUAAGUGUUGGAGGGUUUCCGCCCUUCA